rnacentral:rRNA from 1 species
UACGUAGGGGGCAAGCGUUGUCCGGAAUCACUGGGCGUAAAGCGCACGUAGGCGGCUUCUAAGUCAGGGGUGAAAUCCUGGAGCUCAACUCCAGAACUGCCUUUGAUACUGGAGAGCUAGAGUCCGGAAGAGGUGAGUGGAACUGCGAGUGUAGAGGUGAAAUUCGUAGAUAUUCGCAAGAACACCAGUGGCGAAGGCGGCUCACUGGUCCGGUACUGACGCUGAGGUGCGAAAGCGUGGGAGCAACAGGAU